rnacentral:lncRNA from 1 species
GACUGAUGAAAUGAGAGUGAGUCUUGAUGGGCCAGAUGGAUGGGCCCGUGGCUGGAUUGGUAAAGGGCAGAGAGCUCCAGUCCGACUCAGACGCCAGCAAGGUGGAGGUGGAGUACUGGUUUGGGCUGGUAUCAUCAAAGCUGAGCUUGUGGGGCCUUUUCGGGUUGAGGAUGGAGUCAAGCUCAACUCCCAGUCCUACUGCCAGUUCCUGGAAGACACCUUCUUCAAGCAGUGGUACAGGAAGAAGUCUGCAUCCUUCAAGAAAAACAUGAUUUUCAUGCAGGACAAUGCUCCAUCACACGCGUCCAAGUACUCCACAGCGUGGCUGGCAAGAAAGGGUAUAAAAGAAGAAAAUCUAAUGACAUGGC